CGGUUCGAGUCCGCUUACCUCCACUGAUCAACUACCUGAUAACUUCAUUUGGAGAUUGUUAUUUGUUUAAUGUGACUUAGAUAUAUGUUCACCUGAAUGAACCUAGCUUCCUAUCCCCCCUUAAUGAUUUAAGGCAGAUAAGACGCUGGGCUCACUAUUGCUUUCAGUAGUAAUAGUUUGAUUCAGCA
rnacentral:misc_RNA from 1 species